CCUUAUGUGAGCUUGUGACUCCUGGUCUCAAGAUGAACGCUGGCGGUAUGCCUAACACAUGCAAGUCGAACGGAACCUUCGGGUUUAGUGGCGGACGGGUGAGUAACGCGUGAGAAUCUGCCUCUAGGUCGGGGACAACAAUUGGAAACGAUUGCUAAUACCCGAUGUGCAGCAAUGUGAAAGAUUUAUUGCCUAGAGAUGAGCUCGCGUCUGAUUAGCUAGUAGGUGUGGUAAUGGCGCACCUAGGCGACGAUGAGUAACUGGUCUGAGAGGAUGACCAGUCACACUGGGACUGAGACACGGCCCAGACUCCUACGGGAGGCAGCAGUGGGGAAUUUUCCGCAAUGGGCGAAAGCCUGACGGAGCAAUACCGCGUGAGGGACGAAGGCUUUUGGGUCGUAAACCUCUUUUCCCUGAGAAGAAGAUCU
rnacentral:rRNA from 1 species